AUGAUCACAUUUUUACCUAAUACAAAUCAAUAUACGUAAGUGUUCACAGUUUACUUAUUUUAGUAAUAAUACAUUAAUGUACUUCAAUAAUGAAGAGUUGUUAAGUUUUUUCACACUUAAUUUAUACUUUCUAAUAUAUUAAUUUUGUUGCUAAAGGUAAAGUAAUAUGUGAAUUAAAUUGAAACUAUUUUGUGAGUUUCAAAAAUUAAAUUUCAUCACAAUAAAAAAUAAUUAUUAUGUAUUAUAAUAUUGAACAUUUACAGGUUGAGCCACGUCAAUAGGGCCAAAAAUAGAUGUGUUUUUAUCAACGCUCAAUAUGAGUAGGAAGGUCUAAAUAAGCUCAUUCGACACGUCAGAUGAUGUCUUUUAGUUGUCACUGUGGCGUAGUUGAGUGUCGUUCACUGUAUGUUUGCAUACGACGCGUUUGGGAAAAGCAAUGAAUCGGUAGCUGGGGUACAGCUUGCAGUUCAGACAUCACUUCAACGUUGGUGCUGUUCCCAAUCGAAAAACAAUUAUGAGUGUUGCCCGAGCCACUUCUAUACCGUCUGGACAACUACCAAAGGUGCAUUAUCGUCAUAGCUGAUGACAUACGUCA